ACCCGGGGGACCCCCCCUAAUAUGCAAGUCGAACGGUAACAGGAAGCAGCUUGCUGCUUCGCUGACGAGUGGCGGACGGGUGAGUAAUGUCUGGGAAACUGCCUGAUGGAGGGGGAUAACUACUGGAAACGGUAGCUAAUACCGCAUAACGUCGCAAGACCAAAGAGGGGGACCUUCGGGCCUCUUGCCAUCGGAUGUGCCCAGAUGGGAUUAGCUAGUAGGUGGGGUAACGGCUCACCUAGGCGACGAUCCCUAGCUGGUCUGAGAGGAUGACCAGCCACACUGGAACUGAGACACGGUCCAGACUCCUACGGGAGGCAGCAGUGGGGAAUAUUGCACAAUGGGCGCAAGCCUGAUGCAGCCAUGCCGCGUGUAUGAAGAAGGCCUUCGGGUUGUAAAGUACUUUCAGCGGGGAGGAAGGCGAUAAGGUUAAUAACCUUGUCGAUUGACGUUACCCGCAGAAGAAGCACCGGCUAACUCCGUGCCAGCAGCCGCGGUAAUACGGAGGGUGCAAGCGUUAAUCGGAAUUACUGGGCGUAAAGCGCACGCAGGCGGUCUGUCAAGUCGGAUGUGAAAUCCCCGGGCUCAACCUGGGAACUGCAUUCGAAACUGGCAGGCUAGAGUCUUGUAGAGGGGGGUAGAAUUCCAGGUGUAGCGGUGAAAUGCGUAGAGAUCUGGAGGAAUACCGGUGGCGAAGGCGGCCCCCUGGACAAAGACUGACGCUCAGGUGCGAAAGCGUGGGGAGCAAACAGGAUGAGAUACCCUGGUAGUCCACGCCGUAUACGAUGUCGACUUGGAGGAUGUGCCCUUGAGGCGGGGGU
rnacentral:rRNA from 1 species